ensembl:antisense predicted gene 11423
GUUCGAGUGGCGGCUUGGGGCGCAGCGGGCCUGAACUUCCUAGAGUUUCUCAGAUUGUUAGAUAUUGAAGGUAGUGUUGAAAAAUCAUUGCAGUGAUCCUAGCGAUGGAAAACUCGAGUCGUUCCACCUGUGUCUUCUGCUCCGCAUGAGUUUUGCUGAAUUAAAAGACACUACUUUAAUUAAAAAGCAGGAUAAACCUGGGUUUGGAAAUCGGAAGGCCUUAGGCUCAAGGACUCCAGUUGAGGAAGCGUGAAUAUUUUGACUGGAGUUGAUCUUAACCCAAUGGACUUUACCUGUGCUGACCAACCCUUUCAUCACAAGCCAUAUAUGCGGUUGCUGAGCCCUGGAAAUGGCAUCAGAAAUGAUGGGGCUGCAUGCUUAACUACCAUUGUUAUCUCUCCAGCUCAGCACUCCACAGACAGAAAGCCUGCGGUGAGGAGCAGUGGGUAUCUGCAAAGGCUUUCACUUCUUACACCGGGUUUCUCUGUAUAGCCCUGGCUGUCCCAGAACUCAAACUUUGUAGACCAGGCUGGCCUCAAACUCAGAGAUCCACCUACCUGUGCCUCCCAUGUGCUGGGAUGAAAGGUGUCUGUCGCUACCAUGCUGCCUGCAUCUACUUCUAAAUGAAUGAAAUUCGAGAGCUAAUGAAAUGAAUGGUUAAUAAAAGAGUGUUGAACCCCUUAAAA